CCCUUAGACGUUCUGGGCCGCACGCGCGCUACACUGACCAGUGCAACAAGCAUCCGUCCUUGGCCGACAGGCCCGGGCAAUCUUUGAACGCUGGUCGUGAUGGGGAUAGACUUUUGCAAUUUUUGGUCUUCAACGAGGAAUUCCUAGUAAACGCAAGUCAUCAACUUGCAUUGAUUACGUCCCUGCCCUUUGUACACACCGCCCGUCGCACCUACCGAUUGAAUGAUCCGAUGAAUAUCAUGGAUUGAGGAUGCAAGUAGGUUAGCCUAUCUUCAUCUUCGAGAAGUGAAGUAAAUCUUAUCAUUUAGAGGAAGGAGAAGUCGUAACA
rnacentral:rRNA from 1 species